AGAACAUUCGGACCGGUGGUCUGCCGAUCGAUAUCACCCGCUCGGUGGAAGAUCUUCCCUAUGUCGU
rnacentral:pre_miRNA from 1 species